rnacentral:rRNA from 1 species
GAUGAACGCUGGCGGCGUGCUUAACACAUGCAAGUCGAACGGAAAGGCUCCUGCUUGCAGGGGUACUCGAGCGGCGAACGGGUGAGUAACACGUGGGUGAUCUGCCCUGCACUUCGGGAUAAGCCUGGGAAACUGGGUCUAAUACCGGAUAGGACGAUGGUUUGGAUGCCAUUGUGGAAAGUUUUUUCGGUGUGGGAUGAGCUCGCGGCCUAUCAGCUUGUUGGUGGGGUAAUGGCCUACCAAGGCGUCGACGGGUAGCCGGCCUGAGAGGGUGUACGGCCACAUUGGGACUGAGAUACGGCCCAGACUCCUACGGGAGGCAGCAGUGGGGAAUAUUGCACAAUGGGCGCAAGCCUGAUGCAGCGACGCCGCGUGGGGGAUGACGGCCUUCGGGUUGUAAACUCCUUUCGCUAGGGACGAAGCGCAAGUGACGGUACCUGGAGAAGAAGCACCGGCUAACUACGUG